UCCGUAGGGGAACCUGCGGAGGGAUCAUUACCGAGCUUACAACUCCCAAACCCCUGUGAACAUACCACUUGUUGCCUCGGCGGAUCAGCCCGCUCCCGGUAAAACGGGACGGCCCGCCAGAGGACCCCUAAACUCUGUUUCUAUAUGUAACUUCUGAGUAAAACCAUAAAUAAAUCAAAACUUUCAACAACGGAUCUCUUGGUUCUGGCAUCGAUGAAGAACGCAGCAAAAUGCGAUAAGUAAUGUGAAUUGCAGAAUUCAGUGAAUCAUCGAAUCUUUGAACGCACAUUGCGCCCGCCAGUAUUCUGGCGGGCAUGCCUGUUCGAGCGUCAUUUCAACCCUCAAGCACAGCUUGGUGUUGGGACUCGCGUUAAUUCGCGUUCCUCAAAUUGAUUGGCGGUCACGUCGAGCUUCCAUAGCGUAGUAGUAAAACCCUCGUUACUGGUAAUCGUCGCGGCCACGCCGUUAAACCCCAACUUCUGAAUCGUUGAGCACUCGGAUCACGCAUGCCGAAGGCAAGCGUGAGUGCCCC
rnacentral:rRNA from 1 species